AUGACAAGAGGGAAGUUUACAAGGAGGUUUUACACGACAUAAGAGAUUUUAUUCACCACCAGCGACAACACAGUCUCCCUCUCGUCCCAGCGUGUCCAAACACUGACUGUCGGACCGGUGCGUUUUACGCAUAUCCUUUCCAGGACUAAAUUGACUCGCGAGUCCGAGGGAGAGUCAGACUGGGCGACACAAAGACAGUCAGAGAGGUUGAUAUGGUGCUUUAAAGUACGACUACAUCCUCAUCCCCUCUUUACAGCCGUGCAGCAGAAAUAAAAUUGGACCUGGACGGGGAUGGGAAGUGGAUCAGCUGUUGCUGGCCAGAGCUGAAGGUGACUUGCUGGCUGGGCCAACGGCUGCAACACAGGACAUGGGUCCUGCCUCUCCUCCCCGCUCGUGUCUUGUGUUGCAGCCAGUGGAGCUGCCUGUCUGCCCACUGAUGACGGAGUGAGCUCCAGGAGUGGACGGAUCCUAUCAACCGUGGACCUGCCGACACAGCUCCCCAUCUUACAGCUAGCUUGAGCCUAAUCACUGUCAUUCUGUGUAGUUAUCCCAUAUCUAAAUAUGUCCUCUCCCACAGUUUAAAGCAAAUAAACUACUUCAGCAAAAAUGUUCCUCAUUGUGUUUGUAAUGAUAACAGUGGAGUGUUUUUGCAUCAUAAUGGGAUGUCUCACCAAGCGUACAGCUGCAGUCCACUGA